AGAGUUUGAUCCUGGCUCAGGAUGAACGCUAGCGGCAGGCUUAACACAUGCAAGUCGAGGGGUAUAGGUUUUCGGACCUAGAGACCGGCGCACGGGUGCGUAACGCGUAUGCAAUCUACCUUUUACAGAGGGAUAGCCCAGAGAAAUUUGGAUUAAUACCUCAUAGCAUUAUUGAAUGGCAUCAUUUGAUAAUUAAAGUCACAACGGUAAAAGAUGAGCAUGCGUCCCAUUAGCUUGUUGGUAAGAUAACGGCUUACCAAGGCAACGAUGGGUAGGGGUCCUGAGAGGGAGAUCCCCCACACUGGUACUGAGACACGGACCAGACUCCUACGGGAGGCAGCAGUGAGGAAUAUUGGUCAAUGGGCGCAAGCCUGAACCAGCCAUGCCGCGUGCAGGAUGACGGUCCUAUGGAUUGUAAACUGCUUUUGUACAGGAAGAAACAGUUCUACGUGUAGAACCUUGACGGUACUGUAAGAAUAAGGAUCGGCUAACUCCGUGCCAGCAGCCGCGGUAAUACGGAGGAUCCAAGCGUUAUCCGGAAUCAUUGGGUUUAAAGGGUCCGUAGGCGGUUUUGUAAGUCAGUGGUGAAAGCCCGUCGCUCAACGGCGGAACGGCCAUUGAUACUGCAAGACUUGAAUUAUUAGGAAGCAACUAGAAUAUGUAGUGUAGCGGUGAAAUGCUUAGAUAUUACAUGGAAUACCAAUUGCGAAGGCAGGUUGCUACUAAUGGAUUGACGCUGAUGGACGAAAGCGUGGGGAGCGAACAGGAUUAGAUACCCUAGUAGUCC
rnacentral:rRNA from 1 species